rnacentral:rRNA from 1 species
GACGAACGCUGGCGGCGUGCCUAAUACAUGCAAGUCGAGCGGGGAUUAUGCUUGAUCGCUUCGGUGAGACGGCAUAUAUCCUAGCGGCGGACGGGUGAGUAACGCGUGGGUAAUCUACCUCGUAGUUCGGGAUAACAGGCCGAAAGGCUUGCUAAUACCGGAUGAGUUCAUGCUUAUGCAUAUAGGCAUGAAGAAAGGGCUAGCCCGCUAUGAGAUGAGCCCGCGUCCCAUUAGCUUGUUGGUGGGGUAACGGCCUACCAAGGCAACGAUGGGUAGCCGGCCUGAGAGGGUGUACGGCCACACUGGGACUGAGACACGGCCCAGACUCCUACGGGGGCAGCAGUAGGGAAUUUUCGGCAAUGGGCGAAAGCCUGACCGAGCGACGCCGCGUGAGGGACGAAGGCCUUCGGGUUGUAAACCUCUGUCUGGGGGAUGAGAACGGACGGUACCCCGGAGGAACGCCCCGGCUAACUACGUGCCAGCAGCCGCGGUAAAUAGCGUACU